GUUCCCCGUCUCCUUCACUUUGAACCCAAAACCUAGCCGCCCUAAUUCCUGAUCUGUUCACCACAAGACAUCACCUGUCAGAAAUCAACCCACGGGCAGCAUCUCAUUGCUAAAUAGUAACAAAUUCACACCCUACAACCUCCUGCCUCCUCCCAACCCUAAUCCACUAUUAGCUUCCCCAAAAUCCCAACCUCAUUCCGUUAACUGAAGAUCUGAGAUCCAUCCUUAAAACCCUAAAUCUCCAAACUCACCCAAAAUCACACUCUAUAAUCCUCACGCAUUCAUAAACCCAAAUCCCUUAGUAAUUUCCCAAAACAUCCCCUUGAAAUCGCUGAAUACCAGAUCUAAAAAAACCUAACCUGGUUCUUGUAAUUAGGGACUUUUGGUGAAAGUUUUUGCUCGUUUGGCUGGAAUCUUACCCAAGUAGAUUACUCUUGAUCGAAGUAGUCACUUGGGUCAUCUUCAAUCCCUAUCGAAGCACCCUGAGCCUGGCCAAUCUUUGGCUAUUUGUCCUUGACCUUUUCCCAUUUGUUUGUUUAUAUUAUCCUCAAUCAUUUUUGUUUCAUGAUAGGGUAGAACAAUUAAAAAAAAGAUCUUUAAAUUUUUAAUCAGUAGAUUUUUAAAUUAUUUGUUACUAUGCUUAAAAUUGCCUAAUUAAUUUAACCUUUAAAUAGUUUGGUUUAUGUAAUAUUUAAUUAGCUUAGGUUUAGUUUUUAUUCGGUCAUCUUGUGUUAUAAUCAUCAAAAUUGUUAGUGUGAAGAACAUUUUGGAGUUUCAUUAUAAAUUUGGUUCAUUUUAGAGGUUAGGUUUGUCAUAAGUUUUCAGAUGUUCAUUUAAGCUUUUUCAUUUGCUGUUUGAUUUUUCGAUUGAUAUUUGCCUGUUUGUUUCUAUUUGCCAUAGUUUAUAAGUCAUGAAGAACUUGUAGGGUUAAUAUAACAAUAAAGGAACUUUAAGGGUCUUUUGAGAGUUAAAAUUAAGGAAAAUGGGGUACAAAUUUGGUUUGCACAAAUUGCUGGACCAAUAUUGGACAACCAGCUAUCCUAGGUUGUUACAAGAUCCUCUUCAAGUUGAUAGGAAAUAUUUCCCAAAAGUAGUUUUUCCAGCACAUGGCAUCUUAAUCCUAUAAAGAGUAUCCUUUCUUCACUCAGCUUACACACACGCUGAUAGAGAUGUUCAAACUCUAAGAAAGAAUUAAAAGGUUUCUAAACUGUUUCAAUGAGAGUAGUCUGUUUUCUUCCAGUUUUCAUGUAGCAAGAACUUAGGAAAACCUUCGCGGGAUUUCUGGUUUUCUGGGUUUAAUACGGAUUAAGUUGAAGUUGUGCAUUGCUGUUGAUUUGCUAUUAUCCUCACUCAUUUGCUUGCUAAAAUUCUUACCUCACUCAUUCUUUGUUCUUAAUAUCCAGAUACUCUUGAACCUUUGAGUGGAAAAUGAAGUCUAAAGCUUGAGCUUAGUCCCUGUUGUAAUAAUAAAAUAGUUUAUCAAAAUGUUAAUUUCCAAAUUCCUUCAUGUAUGGUUUGCAAGUAACUUAGCUUAGUAUUUUUGUUUUGAUUUGCUCAAGCAUGCUGAAUUGGAAGUUUUGUUCUAUAGUUGAGUUUUUUGUAUGAACAAUCAGAUUAACUUAGCUGCUCCAUAUACCGUCUACCAUAAUGGUUCAUUUAGUUCUUCAUUAAGGAAGGUUGAAUACGUAUUGCACAGGACAAUGUUUGAUUGCUAAGUAUUCAGUUAAAUUGUCUCAAAUUCCAAUACUGUUAAAACAAUUAUGUAUAUAAGCCUGGGUAGAUCCAUUAAUGGGUUCCAGGUUUCGUCUUAUUGUUAGUGUUUGCAGCCUGUUGAUAAUUAAACUCAUGAUGUAUUUGGUUGUCUUUUUUCCUUCGUUGAUUUUUUAAGCUGUUCGAUAACAUUUGAUUCAGAAGAAUUUGAGUCAAAAUUGGGCUUCAAAGUGGCCCAACUGAGACAGCCCAAUCAAAUUCCGACCUGAGGUACUUGAUCAUUAUUAGCUUUCCAUUUUUCGGCUAAAUUUCGAG
rnacentral:lncRNA from 1 species